GUCUAUGGCCAGGCCACCCUGAAAAAUGCUCGAUCUCGUCUGAUCUCGGAAGCUAAGCGGGGUCAGGCCUGGUUAGUACCUGGAUGAGAGAAUCCCCCCUCUGUUCCUCUCCACCAGAUUGGAGAGAUGGGUGGAACA
ensembl:rRNA 5S_rRNA 5S ribosomal RNA